CUCUGUGACUCCGUACGGAGGCAGCAGUGGGGAAUAUUGCACAAGUGGGGAAACCCUGAUGCAGCCAUGCCGCGUGUGUGAAGAAGGCCUUCGGGUUGUAAAGCACUUUCAGUAGGGAGGAAGGUAGUGUAGUUAACACCUGCAUUAUUUGACGUUACCUACAGAAGAAGCACCGGCUAACUCCGUGCCAGCAGCCGCGGUAAUACGGGAGGGUGCGAGCGUUAAUCGGAAUUACGUGGGACGUAAAGCGCAUGCAGGCGGCCUGUUAAGUCAGAUGUGAAACGCCCCGGGGCUUUAACCUCGGAAUUGCAUUUAGAAACUGGCAGGCUAGAGUCUUGUAGAGGGGGUAGAAUUUCAGGUGUAGCGGUGAAAUGCGUAGAGAUCUGAAGGAAUACCAGUGGCGAAGGCGGCCCCCUGGACAAAGACUGACGCUCAGAUGCGAAAGCGUGGGGAGCAAACAGGAUUAGAUACCCUGGUAG
rnacentral:rRNA from 1 species